rnacentral:rRNA from 1 species
AGCGCAGGCGGUUUGAUAAGUCUGAAGUUAAAGGCUGUGGCUCAACCAUAGUUCGCUUUGGAAACUGUCAAACUUGAGUGCAGAAGGGGAGAGUGGAAUUCCAUGUGUAGCGGUGAAAUGCGUAGAUAUAUGGAGGAACACCGGUGGCGAAAGCGGCUCUCUGGUCUGUAACUGACGCUGAGGCUGAAAGCGUGGGGAGCGAACA